rnacentral:tRNA from 1 species
GCGGGAUUCGUUUAGUGGUAGGAUGGCUGCUUCCCAAGCAGCAGGCACGAGUUCGAUUCUCGUAUCCCGCACAA